GACGAACGCUGGCGGCGUGCCUAAUACAUGCAAGUCGAACGCUGAGGGAGGAGCUUGCUUCUCUGGAUGAGUUGCGCACGGGUGAGUAACGCGUAGGUAACCUGCCUGGUAGCGGGGGAUAACUCUUGGAAACGCUAGCUCAUACCGCAUAAUAGUAGAUGUUGCAUGACAUUUGCCUAAAAGGUGCAAUUGCAUCACUACCAGAUGGUCCUGCGGUGUAUUAGCUAGUUGGUGGGGUAACGGCUCACCAAGGCGGCGAUACAUAGCCGACCUCGGAGGGGGAUCGGCCAAACUGGGACUGGGACACGGCCCAGACCCCUACGGGAAGCAGCAGGAGGGAAUCUUCGGGAAUGGACGGAAGGCUGAACGAGGAACGCCGGGGUGGGGAAGAAGGGUGUCGGAUUGGAAAACUCCGUUGUAAGAGAAGAACGAGAGUGAGAGGGGAAAGUUCACGCUGUGACGGUACCUAAUCAGAAAGGGACGGCUAACUACGUG
rnacentral:rRNA from 1 species